rnacentral:rRNA from 1 species
UACGUAGGUGGCAAGCGUUAUCCGGAAUUAUUGGGCGUAAAGCGCGCGCAGGCGGUUUCUUAAGUCUGAUGUGAAAGCCCACGGCUCAACCGUGGAGGGUCAUUGGAAACUGGGAAACUUGAGUGCAGAAGAGAAAAGCGGAAUUCCACGUGUAGCGGUGAAAUGCGUAGAGAUGUGGGGGAACACCAGUGGCGAAGGCGGCUUUUUGGUCUGUAACUGACGCUGAGGCGCGAAAGCGUGGGGAGCAAACAGG